AGCAGCAAGACUGAAUUAAAUUUCAGAGCCUUUCCACUAUAAUCACCACCACUUUUUUUUGUGUCCCCCCCCUCUACAGUAUUGCAUGCAGGUAUUUAUAGGGAACGGGUGUUCCUAAUGAAGGGUUAGGAUCUCUUCUAGGGAGAUGGAAGGUUUGGAUUUAAAAGGACAUAAUCUGAUGCCUGAGAAUUGAAGAGAAUCAAAAUGGACGGCUGAGAUCCUAUUCAUAAUAUCUAUCCUUUCUUUUUUCAAUCCAACGGCUCAGGAGCUUUCCUGUCCAGACGGAUUCGAAGGUCGGGAAUAAAAGGCGCCGGUCUUGUCGUCUACUUUUUGAUCCAAGGGCUCCGGGUUUGUCUUUACAAGUAAGAUCAACAAUGGAGAUUGAGAUGUACAAGACUGCUAUAACUGUUUUGGCGUCUGUCAGCAAUGUGGGCGAUUCUGCAAAUGAGUCGUGCGGUGGAGAUUUGAUUACGCAUGCAAUGCUUUAACUACCUCGGCCCUGAUUAUGAAGAAAGCUAUUGGUAGUCUUUUUGUCCUCUUGUUGCUUUCCGAUCUCUAUUCCUUCCGAUCUCUCUGUUAUGACUCUUUUUCGAUCUCUCUCACAUCGGGUCCCUCAUCGCUUCCCGAUUUGAGAUCACCCAAACGAUGAAAUUUGAUCUUUGAAGGUUCUUUCAAUGGUGUAAUCCGAUUUUUUGGGAUUGCCCAAAUGAUGUAAUCUGACCCUUUUGGAAAUGAAAUGAAAUUUUAUUUGAAGGUCAUUAUUUAUUUAUUGCAUUGGUUAAUUUUCCGAACUCUGAUGUGCAUAUCCGAUCUGGUCCCUAACUAACUCGUCUUUAGCCGAUCUGUGACUUUGAACAUUUGUUCUAAUCCGACAGCCUCAGCUAACCGAUCUCAUUUUCUUUUAUUUAUUGUGUUUCUGGAACCUUCCCGCGACGUGUUAGGAAAGCGAGCGGAUUCCGCUAACCGAUGCGUUGCUUGGGACUCUGUGAGCAUUGAAUGCUCAAACGGGUAUAAAUAGGGGAAAAGUCCAUCAGUUGCUCCUCUAUGUCACUUUCAGCACUCUGCUAGCAACUUCAACUCUCUCGUUUCUUCAAAUUUUUCCGGCACCGAUCACAUUCCGGUAAGGGUUUUAAUCAUUCUCUUAGUUAAUUUUCUUUUAUUUCUUUGAAAAUGAGCGGCGUCGAGGGUCAGAGAGCGGCGAGCCCUCCUUCUGUCUAUAUCUCGUGGACGUUGGACGAAGUUGGGGUGGUCAGGCCUAGUGGGCUACCUGAGCCUCCUACGACCUCUGCUUCAGCCCACGGUCAAGCGGCACAAUCAAGACGGACACCUUCCUCUGGGAGAGAAUCUUCCUAUGGACGAGUUGCUGUCAGUCCUCCAAGAAACCAAUCUACAAUUCAUUAGUCAAGAGUACAACCUUCGGACCGACUCGUACGAGCUUAUCAGAUGCCAUGGCGAUCUCUGAGCCGAUCACUUCUUUGAAGAAAAUGAUGCGAUCAUGGUGUAUGAAGAGCAAUUAAAAGCCGGGCUUCGGUUUCCCUUUGACGACUUCUUCAAGGACGUUCUGAAGUUUCACCACGUAUGUAUAGCCCAAGUACAUUCGAACUCAUGGUGAAUUCUGGUGGCUUUUAGAGGCUUAUGAAGGGCCAAGAAACUCGAGCCUAUAGCAAAGGUUUUUGCCGAGUUGCAUAGGCUUACUCGUCGAAAGGACGACGAGUAUUGGUUCUUCCAAGCCAAACCGCACUGUGGGCUUUUUACCGAUCUCCCCUCUUCACUGAAGAAUUGGAAGAAUUGCUUCUUUAUGUUGAGGAGCAAGAUUCCGAACGGUUUUGAAGGUUUCCCACGUAGCUGGCAAUAUCUGGGCCCAUCAAUUCCAAAGAAGGUCACCCUGAGUAGGGACGAGGGUGCCAUGGUAAUGGAAUUGAAGGAUCAGGCGGCCACUCACAAGUAUUCGUACUUAUACGAUGUUAUGGCCGAACUGAGAUGGUGGCUAAUGCGGAUGAUCGCCAAUGAAGAACUGCAGCUCUUUGACCUCGGACCUGGGACCGAAAUGGCUGCAGGCGAAGGCUCAAAGGAGAGCCGCAAGUGGAAAAGAGAAGUCUCCUGGAAGGUAUAAGAAAUGAAGAUUGCCGCGGCAUCACAGACGCCAAGGCGGGAUUCGGGAGAAGUGCCGGGAGACUAGUCCCGACCUUCGAGACAACCGGUCCCAGAAGUAGAGGUAGCUCCUUCUCCCCCUCGACAAGAAGAGCCGCCACCUCCACCUAUUUCUUCAAGUGCGGAAAGGUGGUUUUCCCAAUCUACUGUGAGAACCCUUUCUCGUGGUGCCUAAGUCCUCAUUCAUUCUCUGGAGAAGAACCUAUCCGUUUGGGAGAAUUCGGGCUUGGCCAAAGUUCUGAGUGCUACCAUAUGCCUCCAGGAGGACCGGAACAGGGUGACCCCGGAUAGCAUUGAUGAUCUCCUGGCUCAGACGAUGAGUUUGAGCGUAGAGAGCCUGGUGAAUCAGCACAUAAUCAGGGAAAAUGCUCAUUUUUUGAGGCAGGAGAUUCUGAAAGCGGUCCAGGACGCAGCUUCCGCCCGAGCCCAACUUUCAUCCGCCCAAGACUAUAUUGCUGAAAUCGAAGGUCGGAUGAAAUCCUACGAGGAUAAGCUGGCCGAACAGGCUCGUGAACUUGGGAAGCUCGGUCGCUCCGAACUGCCGACGUCGCUCGCCUUACUGAGGAGCUCAAAGCGAAGGAAGAAGAGGCUGUGAUAAGGGAAGCUGGUGCUUAAGUGAAUGCACACAGCGAUCUUCUGGCCGAGCUCGAGAGGCGUUAUCCUGGGGAAGACUUCUCCUGGAUGGUGGAUCUUGUUCCCAGAGACGAAGAGGAGAGCGAGGAGGAAACCGAGAGAGAGAGAGAAUAAGCGAAAUGUUGAUGUAGAACAGGCUGGGGGUGACCCUCCAGCCGAAUGACUUGUACUUUUAUUUUGAGACAGAAUGAAAUCCCUUUUGUUCAA